GGCUGGUUAGCUCAGUCAGUUGAGCAUGGCACUGACAAGGCCAAGGUUGCGGGUUCGAUUCCCGUUCGAUCCC
rfam:Apaloderma vittatum contig65447, whole genome shotgun sequence.